UUCCAGAAAGCGGGUUAUGUGAGAACUCUGAGUUUGUUAACCCUGAGAUGAGGGAAACUCUGAGUUAUCCGUUCCAGAAAGAGAGGUAACUUAAACUGUGGGUCUGUUACUGCGGUAACUUACUCUGUGAACAUAACCUGCUCGCUGGCAGGUUUACUAUAAGAAACCCAGAGUUUCUACCUGUCUCCUCCCACACGAAGAAAGCAGUUAGACAUGGAUUGCCCAUUCAUUCGAAAUCCAAUCGACAUCGAAGCCGUAAUGAUUCGAAAUGCAUUACGUCGUGAGAGAAUCUUCCGACCCAGAUUAGACGUUUGAUCAUUUCCCGAGGAUUUUCUUUUCGAACGCUACCGCUUUUCAUCCAACGGUAUCACUCAAUAACCUUCUCCGGCCACAUAUCACCAACCUCACACACCGCGGACGAGCACUCACAUCAGAGCAAAUUUUAUGCGUAGCACUACGUUUUUUUGCAAACGGCAGUUUUCUGUAUAACACCGGGGAUGCAGAGCAUUAUGGAAAGGCAACAGUGUGUAGAGCUGUGAGGAAGGUAACCCUCGCACUGAAACGCCUGUUACCAGUGAUGGUGGUGUUCCCCGGACACAAACCUGUUCGCAGCAUCAAAGAGGAAUUCCACAGGAUUGCGGGUUGUGACUGAUGUAGAAAUCAUAUAUUCUGUUAUUAGAAAUUAUGAUAUAGGCCUACAUUCUGCGGCGGCCUCAGAGUGGGGUCAGUAGCUUAAUUAGCUGUCAUUUUGCAGGCCUUCCAAAUGUGAUAGGAUGCACAUACACAAAUCCCUAUUACUGCGCCUACACAAAAUGAAGGGGACUAUGUGAAUCGAAAAUCCUUUCACAGCAUCAAUGUCCAGAUCAUAUGUGAUGCAACCUCAGUGUGUAGUCUGAGCAACAGAUUUGCACGUGGAGAGUUUGAUGGCUACCUGCUGGGGGAUCGAGGCUAUCCAUGCCAGCCCUCUCUGUUGACCCCUUACCCUGAGCCAGGGCCCCAACAACGUUUUAAUGUGGCCCACUGCAGGACUAGAGCCCGGGUUGAGAUGACCAUAGGCAUACUCAAAUCCCGGUUCCAGUGCCUGCGUAAGCUCAGGGUCACCCCAGAGAGGGCAUGUGACAUCAUUGUGGCAUGUGUUGUUCUCCAUAAUAUUGCAAUUAUUAGAGGAGAGCAACACCCUGCCGUACAAAUCAAUGAUGCUGAGGAUGACCAUCCCAUCCCUGCAGAUGUUCAGGAUGGAAGGGCUGUAAGGGACCUCAU